GACGAACGCUGGCGGCGUGCCUAAUACAUGCAAGUAGAACGCUGAAGGAGGAGCUUGCUUCUCUGGAUGAGUUGCGAACGGGUGAGUAACGCGUAGGUAACCUGCCUGGUAGCGGGGGAUAACUAUUGGAAACGAUAGCUAAUACCGCAUAAGAGUAGAUGUUGCAUGACAUUUGCUUAAAAGGUGCAAUUGCAUCACUACCAGAUGGACCUGCGUUGUAUUAGCUAGUUGGUGGGGUAACGGCUUACCAAGGCGACGAUACAUAGCCGACCUGAGAGGGUGAUCGGCCACACUGGGACUGAGACACGGCCCAGACUCCUACGGGAGGCAGCAGUAGGGAAUCUUCGGCAAUGGACGGAAGUCUGACCGAGCAACGCCGCGGGAGUGAAGAAGGGUUUCGGAUCGUAAAGCUCUGUUGUAAGAGAAGAACGAGUGUGAGAGUGGAAAGUUCACACUGUGACGGUAUCUUACCAGAAAGGGACGGCUAACUACGUG
rnacentral:rRNA from 1 species